GGCACGGGGGGCCUACGGGAGGCAGCAGUGGGGAAUAUUGGACAAUGGGCGCAAGCCUGAUCCAGCCAUACCGCGUGGGUGAAGAAGGCCUUCGGGUUGUAAAGCCCUUUUGUUGGGAAAGAAAUCCAGCCGGCUAAU
rnacentral:rRNA from 1 species